GCUGAUAUAGCUCAGUCGGUAGAGCGCAUCCUUGGUAAGGAUGAGGUCCCCAGUUCGACUCUGGGUAUUAGCACCA
rnacentral:tRNA from 1 species